rnacentral:rRNA from 1 species
UACGUAGGUGGCAAGCGUUGUCCGGAUUUACUGGGUGUAAAGGGCGUGUAGCCGGGCUGACAAGUCAGAUGUGAAAUUCCGGGGCUCAACCCCGGACCUGCAUUUGAAACUGUUGGUCUUGAGUAUCGGAGAGGCAGGCGGAAUUCCUAGUGUAGCGGUGAAAUGCGUAGAUAUUAGGAGGAACACCAGUGGCGAAGGCGGCCUGCUGGACGACAACUGACGGUGAGGCGCGAAAGCGUGGGGAGCAACAGGAUAG